UACGUAGGCAGCAAGCGUUGUUCGGAGUUACUGGGCGUAAAGGGUGUGUAGGCGGUUGUUUAAGUUUGGUGUGAAAUCUCCCGGCUCAACUGGGAGGGUGCGCCGAAUACUGAAUGACUUUGAGUGCGGGAGAGGAAAGUGGAAUUCCUGGUGUAGCGGUGAAAUGCGUAGAUAUCUGGAGGAAUACCGGUGGCGAAGGCGGCAUCCUGGACCGGUAUUGACACUGAGGCGCGAAAGCCAGGGGAGCAAACAGG
rnacentral:rRNA from 1 species